CCUACGGGUGGCUGCAGUGGGGAAUAUUGGACAAUGGGGGCAACCCUGAUCCAGCCAUGCCGCGUGUGUGAAGAAGGCCCUCGGGUUGUAAAGCACUUUCAGUGAGGAAGAACGCCUGGUGGUUAAUACCCAUCAGGAAAGACAUCACUCACAGAAGAAGCACCGGCUAACUCUGUGCCAGCAGCCGCGGUAAUACGGAGGGUGCGAGCGUUAAUCGGAAUUACUGGGCGUAAAGCGCGCGUAGGUGGCUUGAUAAGCCGGUUGUGAAAGCCCCGGGCUCAACCUGGGAACGGCAUCCGGAACUGUCAAGCUAGAGUGCAGGAGAGGAAGGUAGAAUUCCCGGUGUAGCGGUGAAAUGCGUAGAGAUCGGGAGGAAUACCAGUGGCGAAGGCGGCCUUCUGGACUGACACUGACACUGAGGUGCGAAAGCGUGGGUAGCAAACAGGAUUAGAUACCCGUGUAGUC
rnacentral:rRNA from 1 species